AUUGAACGCUGGCGGCAUGCCUUACACAUGCAAGUCGAACGGUAACAGGUCUUCGGAUGCUGACGAGUGGCGAACGGGUGAGUAAUACAUCGGAACGUGCCUAGUAGUGGGGGAUAACUACUCGAAAGAGUGGCUAAUACCGCAUGAGAUCUACGGAUGAAAGCAGGGGAUCGCAAGACCUUGUGCUACUAGAGCGGCCGAUGGCAGAUUAGGUAGUUGGUGGGAUAAAAGCUUACCAAGCCGACGAUCUGUAGCUGGUCUGAAAGGACGAUCAGCCACACUGGGACUGAGACACUGCCCAGACUCCUACGGGAGGCAGCAGUGAGGAAUUUUGGACAAUGGGCGAAAGCCUGAUCCAGCAAUGCCGCGUGCAGGAUGAAGGCCUUCGGGUUGUAAACUGCUUUUGUACGGAACGAAAAGCCCCGGGUUAAUACCCUGGGGUCAUGACGGUACCGUAAGAAUAAGCACCGGCUAACUACGUGCCAGCAGCCGCAGUAA
rnacentral:rRNA from 1 species